GCUGAUGAUGUUAAAGGAAGAGAGGUAUCGGUAUAGGGCUUCUACAAAGUAAAAGAAGAGGCAGGGUUAGUAGAUAUACGCUAUUUAGGUCGUACCAAGUAUUACCAACUUUAUGCACUUAGGAAGCUUUUUAUAUGGUCGACUGCUCACUUGAUCUUUUGGAGGAAAGGAUAAUAGCUUUGGAAGAAUGGUUUGGUACGAUUACUUUAAGUUACUCAAAAGAUGAAAUUGACUCUGAACUAGAAAGCGGUGGUGAAAAUAAGGCUAAGGAUAUAAUUCUUACCUCGAAACCUAAUGAAGAAAAGACAAUAAGUGAACUUCUUUACUUAGUAUUUGAACAAUUAGAAAAAAUUUCCGUGGAACUAGACUUAAAAACGUCAUGGCCAUCUAACCAGAACGAAUUUAACGACGACGAAAAGUUAUAUAUACUAAAUUCCUGCCAAGAUAUUAUAAAAAAUUCCAAUCUAGAAUUUCAAAAUCUUCUCUCUUUACAAAAAUACCUGAAUUCAAAAGCAGUCAAUGGCCUUAUUGAUGAUUCUAAGAAGUUUUCCCGCUUGUAUACUGAAUGGCAAUUGUUUGAGUCAGCAUUAUGGAAGUUUACUGAGCAAUUU